GCCGGGUUAGCUCAGUUGGUUAGAGCAUGGUGCUAAUAACUCCAAGUUCACAGGUUCAAUCCCUGCUUACUGCA
rfam:Pelecanus crispus contig15328, whole genome shotgun sequence.